CGGGGCUGUGACACGGGGCUGUGACACGGGGCUGUGACAUGGGGCAGUGACACGGGGCUGUGACACGGGGCUGUGACACGGGGCUGUGACAUGGGGCUGUGACACUGGGCUGUGACACGGGGCUGUGACACAGGGCUGUGACAUGGGGCUGUGACACGGGGCUGUGACACGGGGCUGUGACAUGGGGCUGUGACAGACCCGAGCAGCCGCAGGUCCCGAAGCGACAGGAGCAUCUUGUGCUGCCAGUCCCGCCCUGGGGACUGCUCCGGAGGGUGUAUCCCAGCUCUAGAAACCUAUCAUCAUCAUUCUCUCUCCACAGGCUGGCAGUCUGGCUGCAGAAUCUUUUACACCAGACAAGAAGCAAUCACAUUAGAGGAAUUACUUUUAUUUCCCUGAGAUACUCUCUUAUUGCUUGGAUAUUUUCUGCCAGGACUGUCUUACCUAGUCCUUUGGUUCUUCUGCCUGGGGAACAGAUAGGUGAUGUGGAAAUUCAGAGCUCCAGCUUGUAUUUUCUCCAUUCCUCAUUGCCUUUAGGAGCUGGAAAGACUGGGCAAACACUCCUAAGGCAAAAUGUACCUGGUUGUUCCUGCACCUUUUGUUUGAGCCCUUCUCAGAUUUGGGCCACUGGACUGGACCUCUUCACCUUUCAUCUUAAGCUGCCCCACCUAAAUACAAAUACUCAUAUGCCACAAGAAACCAGGCAAGUCUAGAUGUGUGUAAGGAAAAUAUCUGGUGUGCUUUUCACUAGCAAAUGUCUCUGCAAAAGAGAAACUUGUUGGGCAUACAAUGUGGUUUUCUUCUAACAGUUCUUUUUUUGAAGCAGCAUCUCAGGCUUGGGCAGAAUCUGUUCCCUCACCCCCUGGGAAUUGUGCAUCUGAGCUCUGCUGUGCUCCUUCUAGCACUCUUGUGUAGACUCCUCCAUGACAGAUGCAACAUGUUUCUUCUUCCUCUGCACAGGUGACCUCUCAUUUCCCUUUUUCUCUGUCUUAGUGCUAAGAUUUCUUUUAUCUUCCCCUUAAUCCUGUUACUCUGGAAUAUAACUCUCUGUCUGGCUCUGUAAACCGCAGGUGCUGAUUGACAGCCGUUCUGCUCUUCAUUUACCAGCAGUAUUUUCAUGUCUGUUGUUCUUUACUGCAGUCAGGGUGGUUUUAGUAUGUCCAUUCAUGGACUCCAAAAGAGACUGGAUUUAUCUUUCCUUCUAAAUAGACGUUUUCUACCCGAGGCACUGGGUCCUUGAGCUGUAACAAAAGCCUAGAGCAGCUUUUGCUGCAACAGCUGAUGUGAAAAAGCAAGCUAGGCAUGCAAAGGUGCCUGAAAACUUUGCUUGCUUAGGUGUGAUUCAUCCAAGGUGAGGAUUGCUGCUGUUGCCAUAAAGCUUUCUUGUUUUAAACAUUGCCUUAUCUGCUUGCAGCUGUUAAAAAUGAGAACAGCUUGACUUGCCAUAGACUUCACAGCUGAUGCAUCUGUGGCUUCCAAAUAGAUGGCAGAACCCUGGCAGCCUCUGCAAGAUAUGUCAACAGAAAGUUUGACCAGUGUGGGGAGAUGCUGGGGGGGUUUUAGGGUGAGUUUUAGGAGUGGUAACACCAUCAAACACAAGACAGCUCUCCAGCCUUGAGACACCUUGCAGCAUCCCUGGGUUCAGACCAGGCUGCAGAAAGCUGCAGGCCUUUGUGAGUCCAUCUCCAUGAAAAGCCUGGAUGCAAAUCCCAGGCUCUUGCUGGCCCUCAGUGAGUGCCCUGGCAGCUCCACACACAGCUGGGCACAACAGCCAGUGCUGCAGAGAGCAGGGUACAGAGCUGUAGCUCUGCUGACCACAGGAGUGAAGAGGAAUCCCCAGUCCCUCUGGCUCUGCCUCUCUCGUUCUUGCCAUGACUUCAGUCUGGGAGCCAGGUCAUACAUGACCAGUAUUCUCUGUUCUUCCCUCUGCUCUGUAGGAUUGGGAUCCCUCUUCUUCCCCUGGUAAACAACCCAACCCCCUUCUUCCUAACCUGCCUUUUCUUGCUGCACGUAUCUCCUGGUGCAGGGACCUAGGUAAUAUCACACCUGAGAGAUCUGGGUAGGGUUUGAGGCUCUGGCAUGUGGGGCACUGUGGGGAGAGGGUAGGGGGAAGGAUGGGACUUGGGGACCAGGCAGGAGAAUGCUGAAUUGGGCUGCAGUGGGAGCACAGAGCUGUGGCUGCCCUGGUUA